GACGAACGCUGGCGGCGUGCUUAACACAUGCAAGUCGAGCGAUGAAGCUUCUUCGGAAGUGGAUUAGCGGCGGACGGGUGAGUAACACGUGGGUAACCUGCCUCAUAGAGGGGAAUAGCCUUCCGAAAGGAAGAUUAAUACCGCAUAAGAUUGUAAUAUCGCAUGAUAUAGCAACUAAAGGAGUAAUCCGCUAUGAGAUGGACCCGCGUCGCAUUAGCUAGUUGGAUGGGUAACGGCUCACCAAGGCGACGAUGCGUAGCCGACCUGAGAGGGUGAUAGGCCACAUUGGGACUGAGACACGGACCAGACUCCUACGGGAGGCAGCAGUGGGGAAUAUUGCACAAUGGGGGAAACCCUGAUGCAGCAACGCCGCGUGAGUGAUGACGGUCUUCGGAUUGUAAAGCUCUGUCUUCAGGGAUGAUAAUGACGGUACCUGAGGAGGAAGCCACGGCUAACUACGUGCCAGCCGCCCCGGUAACAC
rnacentral:rRNA from 1 species